rnacentral:lncRNA from 1 species
CUGAAAUGAAUCUGCCACCCUGGAGGUUCGGGCCUGCUGCCCUGGAAAUGGGAGAGAAAAGAAUGUGUUCUUCUGACUUUAAGUAAACAAACAACUCCGACUCCCAUAAACCCCAACAGCCUGCAGUCUCCACAGAGGCAGGAUCAACCCAAGGUCACUCCCCCUGGCUUCCAAGGGAGGCCAGGGACCAUGGCUGAGCAGGCAGGAAAUUGCUAUGUUCAGAUUACAUAACCCAAAAAGAGUUUUUAAAAAGGGACAGUGCUAACAAAGACACCAGUGGCACUGGGGGAAGCCACGAGGUCCCCUUUUUAGCCAGGGUUCUCUGGGGAAAUAAGACCAAUGGGAUGUGUACAUAGAAAGAAAGGAUUUGUCUUAGGGAAUUGGUUUUCAGGGUGAAAGAGGCUAGCAAGUCCAAAUCUGCUGGGUGGGCUGUAAGCUAGAGACUCAGAGAAGAGCUGAUAUUAUAGUUGAAGUCUUAGGACCACCUCCCUGAUUAGAGAAGGCCAGUCUUUUGAUGCAUUCAGGUCUUCACCUGAUUGGAUUAGGCCCACCCACACUAGGAGGACAAUCUGUUUUACUCAAAAUCCACUGACUGAAGUGUUACCCCCAUCAAAACACCCUCAUGAUAACUAAUGUGUUAAUAAAAGAAAAAUAAAACUUCACAGAAACUUCCAGAAUGAUGAUGGACCGUGUAUCUGGACACCACAGCUGAGUCAAGUUGCCACGUAGAAUAAAUAUCACAGUAACUCAGGGCUAGUGGCAGACAGGAGUCAUUAUUCUCUGAGACCUGAGACCUGAGAUGGAGCUGUGUAGAGAAGCCCCCUUUCAGCAGCCAAACUAAAGAAUUAAUUCCUAGUCUUCCUUCUCUUCCCUCCCUCAAUAUCCUGCUGGGUCCAACUGAAACCUGGAGGGCAACGGGGCUGCAGCUGGGGUCCCCUAAAAUAGCCUCCAGAGGCCCACAGCUGCUGGGGAAGAAAGGAGAAUGGGUGCUGACAGACACGUGGAUGCACAGCACAGGAUCCCAG